GGUAAUUAGGAGGCCACGAUCCCAUUCAGCCGGUUUGUUUGGAAAAGUCCCUCCGAAACCAAUCCGUAUCAAUAUUUCAGGAGGACAUAUUGAAGAUGAUCAAGCAAAGAAGACUUUGCUUGCUAUUGUUCGUGAAAGGUGGCCCGUUGGACAUUACACGUUCACCGACAUUGUUGAACAUGAUGGUGAAUGGCUAAAACACGUAGUCGAGGAAUUUAAUUUAUAUUUCAAGCAACAAAAGGGACAAAGCCGGUCCGAAGCAAAAAAUAUAAUUGAGAAGCAUAUCAAGAACACAAUAAAGAGGACGUUGAAUGAGCUCAAGACAAAUAUUGAGCAAAAAUCAAAGGAAAGCGGAAUAUCAAAAUUGAGUUUAAGACCUGGAUAUUGGUCUGAACUUUUUUGGAAGGAUUUAUUAAAUUAUUGGGAAAAGAAUGAGGGGCACUUGCAUAGGUCAUCCGUUGGAUCUACGAACCGCAAGAACGUCGAGCGGGUGCAUAGUGCCGGUGCCCGGUCUUUUAAUAAAGUGAAGGAGGUAUAUAUAAAUAUCUAUUAUCAUACACACCUUAAUUUCACUUUUAAGAUUUAAUUCACAUAUAUAUUAUAUUGAUGAUUUAAAUUGUUUUUGGAAGGAAA